rnacentral:rRNA from 1 species
CGACCGGCGCACGGGUGAGUAACACGUAUCCAACCUGCCGACAACACUGGGAUAGCCUUUCGAAAGAAAGAUUAAUACCGGAUGGCAUAGUCUUCCCGCAUGGGAUGACUAUUAAAGAAUUUCGGUUGUCGAUGGGGAUGCGUUCCAUUAGGCAGUUGGCGGGGUAACGGCCCACCAAACCUACGAUGGAUAGGGGUUCUGAGAGGAAGGUCCCCCACAUUGGAACUGAGACACGGUCCAAACUCCUACGGGAGGCAGCAGUGAGGAAUAUUGGUCAAUGGACGAGAGUCUGAACCAGCCAAGUAGCGUGAAGGAUGACUGCCCUAUGGGUUGUAAACUUCUUUUAUAAAGGAAUAAAGUCGGGUAUGGAUACCCGUUUGCAUGUACUUUAUGAAUAAGGAUCGGCUAACUCCGUGCCAGCAGCCGCGGUAAUACGGAGGAUCCGAGCGUUAUCCGGAUUUAUUGGGUUUAAAGGGAGCGUAGAUGGAUGUUUAAGUCAGUUGUGAAAGUUUGCGGCUCAACCGUAAAAUUGCAGUUGAUACUGGAUAUCUUGAGUGCAGUUGAGGCAGGCGGAAUUCGUGGUGUAGCGGUGAAAUGCUUAGAUAUCACGAAGAACUCCGAUUGCGAAGGCA